GCAUGGUUGCGUGUGCACUGCCCAGAUGCAGAGUGUGGACUUUGCUCAGAAGCACAGCAUCUGUGAAGCUUUCGGAAAUUAUCCCUCUGGCUCCAGCCCUUUCUAGAGAUCUCCACGCACAUCUCUGCAUGAAGGUUUCAGAGUCACUGGAUUUCCCAGGGCCUUCUCUUUGCUAGGAAUGUCUGAGACGCGCUCUGCAAGAUGAGUUGGCAGCAUCUCUGUGCCUCUGGUUUUGCCAGGCUCCACCAACAUCCCGCUAAGAACUCUUCACCCUCAAGUGCACUGAGGGGAACCCCAGUGAAGGCCAAUGAGGGAAACCACACAUCACUGAGGGCCGACGGAGGCCCCCAAAGCUCAGAUCGCUGUGCUCGCCAGUAGGUAAGCAUCCCCUGUGAAGAAAGCCUACCUUCUCUCUCCCUCCCCAGAUCCCCAUAUCCAGACAGAGUGAGGAAAUGCAUAAAAACAAAACACAAAACACACUCCUUCCCCAGGUCCCCAGACACCCUUAACACAGCUAUCUGCAGGAUUGAAUGAUUGCUGGGACCACACAAUUUACACUUGGCUCUCGUGGUCCGGAGGGGAGGACUGCGCCAGCAUGAGAAGACCAGAGAGCAAGUAAAUGGAAAUUUGGCGAGAUCCUGUGGCUGCUGUUGGUGGCUGCAGCCAGACAGGAAAACUGAGAUGGUGUGAGCAGAAAGGGCUGGAAGGAGUUGGCUUUUUCCAAGAAAUUACAGCGGAAUCUUCUUCCAAGAGGCUGGGGGCCUCUGCAGACAUGAUCUCAUUACUUACCCCCCAAAUCCCCCAGCUUCCCUACGGACCAAGGACCAGGGGUCUCUGCCCAGUCCUAGCUCCAAGGAAACUCACACUUGGCAGAUUUUCCUAAUCGGAGCUGGCCUUGAAGUUUGCUCACUGAUAAUCACCAGAAAGUCACCCCAACAAUGGGUGAUGCCAGAGUGUCCUCAAGCUUCAAGGGUCCGUAAAAACACUUGACUCCCCCAGGACAAAAAUGACUGGGGGAAACAUGCAGUUCUUCAAAGAGAACGGUUUCAUUCUGUACCAAA